AAUCACUGGAUUAAGGCUGGGAAGGAACCUGAAUCAAGUUUGGAAAAGAACCUGACUCAGGUUUGGAGAAGAAUCCCCAAAUUAGGGUUGGAAAAGAACGACCCAAUCAAGGUGGGAGAAGAAAAACCAAAUUAAGGUUGGAAAAGAACUCUGGGAUCAAGGCUGGGAAGGAACGACCAAGUCAGGGCUGGGAAGGAGCUGCAGGACAUCAAACCCAACCCCGCUGAGCUGAAGGUUCACCCCGAGCUCUCCCCGCACCGAUUCCCCAAACGAUCCCCGCUCCCUCCCCGAACCCACCCGGUGCUCUGGGGAGGUUUCCCCUCUGGAAAGGAGGAUUCGGCCCCGGGGGAAGGGGGCAGAGCCAGCCCGGGCCGUGUGGGGGCACAGGGGCUGCCAAGCGCUCCCUGCCAUGCACAAGCCGGGGACGGGGUCUAUGUACAGCAACAGGAGCCUCCCCAGCCCCAGCGCCAGGGCUGGGCGGCUGCUGGGACAGAAUCACAGUUUUGGAUGCACCGAGGGUUUAUUCCUGCUCUUCCCCAUUGUAUUGGCAAAUGCAACAGUCUAGCUUGGGAAUGGGGGGGAUUCCUUAUGGAGAUAGAAAAACAGAGGGAGGGGGUCAGGAGGGAGGGCGGGACAGUCACCCCUGGAGACACCAGACAGCUCCACCACCACUGCAGUCAAACUAAUUAUAGCAAUUAACACCAUUUCCUCCUUGAGUUUUUUGUUUUUCCUAAGUGAUGGUUUUCCCUUUCUGCUCCCACCCGAGGGGAGGGAGCCCCAGACACUGGAAUGAGCACAGGG